GACGAACGCUGGCGGCGUGCUUAACACAUGCAAGUCGAACGAAGUGGCGAACGGGAGAGUAACGCGUAAUCCACCUGCCCUUCGGAGGGGGACAACAGCUGGCAACGACUGCUAAUACCGCAUACUGAAGGAGGGGGUUGAGUCUGAUUAGCAGGUUGGCGGGGUAACGGCCCACAAAGGCGAUGAUCAGUAGCCGGUCUGAGAGGAUGAACAGCCACACGGGGACUGAGACACGGCCCAGACUCCUACGGGAGGCAGCAGUGGGGAAUGUUGGACAAGGGGCGCAAGCCUGAUCCAGCCAUGCCGCGUGUCUGAAGAAGGCCUUCGGGUUGUAAAGGACUUUUGUCAGGGAAGCGUUACCUGAAGAAUAAGCACCGGCUAACUACGUGCCAGCAGCCGCGGUAAUAC
rnacentral:rRNA from 1 species